rnacentral:misc_RNA from 1 species
CUCAUCAAAUUGGCUAUUUCAAGAACUCUGGCAACUUUUGUUCCUCUUUUAGCUUCAGCUGAUGCUCUUCUAUCCUCUGCUUUUCUGUGUGCUUUUGCUACCUCAUUCUGCAUCUUCUCAAGAGCUCUUGCUCUUUUCUCUUCCAGCUUCCUCUCAACUUUCUUCAUCCAAGAAGUAGACUUCUGCACUUGUUCACUCUCCCACCCAUUAAUUAUAGCAUCUUCUCUCUU